rnacentral:rRNA from 1 species
UCGUGAAUCUUCCGCAAUGGGCGAAAGCCUGACGGAGCGACACCGCGUGUAGGAUGAAGGCCUUCGGGUUGUAAACUACUGUCACGUUCUAGGCACUGCUCGGCGUGAAUAGCGCCGAGCCCGACCAAGACGGGAGGAAGCACCGGCUAACUCUGUCCCCGCAGCCGCGGUAAUACAGAGGGUGCGAACGUUGCUCGGAAUUACUGGGCGUAAAGCGCGUGUAGGCGGGACGGUAAGUCAGAUGUGAAAUCCCCGAGCUCAACUCGGGAACUGCAUCUGAAACUGCCGACCUGGAGUGUCGGAGAGGGCGGCGGAAUUCCUGGUGUAGAGGUGAAAUUCGUAGAUAUCAGGAGGAACACCGGUGGCGAAGGCGGCCGCCUGGACGAUUACUGACGCUGAGACGCGAAAGCGUGGGGAGCAAA